UCCUGUAUGACAUCAGGUGUGAGGCAGGUAAAUAUGCAAUUUUUACCUGCCUCACACCUGAUGUCAUAUAGGG